rnacentral:rRNA from 1 species
AUGGAGGUCAUGGAGAUGCACAGAAGCAGCGCCAGAGCCGCUAGGGUCGCCAUUCCCACCGGCGCCGCCAAGUUGAGCGCUCCGUAUCGUUAUCUCCUGCGCGCAUCCGUCCACUUCUUCGUUUCCCAGCUUUUGGCCCAGCUGGGUCUGUACAAGAGCAAGGAGGAGGCCGCCAGGCAAGAAGAGGUGCUGGGGAAGCUUGACAAGAUUGUGAAAGAGUGGGUUAAGGAGUUGGCUAUUCAGAGAGGCCAAGUCAACGCAAAUGUCGUGCUUUUCACCUUCGGGUCAUACCAUCUAGGGGACAACAAGUUCAUCUGCGGCAGCUAUCACUGUGUGCAGUCCAUCUGCAACGCGCUCCGCAGCGUCUUCGCCGGUCACAACGAGAUCCUCAACGUCUGCAAGUAA